GACGAACGCUGGCGGCGUGCUUAACACAUGCAAGUCGAACGAUGAAGCGGUGCUUGCACCGUGGAUUAGUGGCGAACGGGUGAGUAAUACGUGAGUGACCUACCUUUGACUCUGGGAUAAGCCUGGGAAACUGGGUCUAAUACCGGAUACGACCAAUCUCUGCAUGGGGUGUUGGUGGAAAGCGUUAUGGAGUGGUUUUAGAUGGGCUCACGGCCUAUCAGCUUGUUGGUGAGGUAAUGGCUUACCAAGGCGACGACGGGUAGCCGGCCUGAGAGGGUGACCGGCCACACUGGGACUGAGACACGGCCCAGACUCCUACGGGAGGCAGCAGUGGGGAAUAUUGCACAAUGGGCGCAAGCCUGAUGCAGCGACGCCGCGUGAGGGAUGACGGCCUUCGGGUUGUAAACCUCUGUUAGCCUCGAAGAAGCGAAAGUGACGGUAGGUGCAGAGAAAGCGCCGGCUAACUACGUG
rnacentral:rRNA from 1 species